GACGAACGCUGGCAGCGUGCUUAACACAUGCAAGUCGAACGGAAAGGCUCCAGCUGGCUGGAGUACUCGAGGGGCGAACGGGUGAGUAACACGUGGGUAAGCUGCCCUGCACUCUGGGAUAAGCCUGGGAAACUGGGUCUAAUACAGGAGAUGACCGUGCUCCUUAGGGGGAUCGGUGGAAAGUUUGCCGUUGUAGGAUGAGCCGGCGGCCUAUCAGCUUGGUGGGGGGGUGAUGGCCUACGAAGGCGACGACGGGUAGCCGGCCUGGGAGGGUGAGCGGCCACCUGGGGCCUGCGGUACGGCCCAGACUCCUACGGGGGGCAGCAGUGGGGAGUCUUGCCCAAUGGGCGGACGCCUGAUGCAGCGGCGCUGCGUGAGGGAUGACGGCCUUCGGGUUGUAAACCUCUUUCAGCUGGGACGAAGCGUAAGUGACGGUACCUGCAGAAGAAGCACCGGCUAACUAUGUG
rnacentral:rRNA from 1 species